UGGAAUCAAUAACUGGGGUGAAGUCGUAACAAGGUAGCCGUAUCGGAAGGUGCGGCUGGAUCACCUCCUUUCUAAGGAGA
rnacentral:rRNA from 1 species